ensembl:lncRNA
UAAAAGGAUGAAUGUUUUUUAUAGGUCCAAAUCACAAAAUUAUUGCUUAAAAAAAUCAGGAAAGCCAAAAGAAGAGUAAACGACUAGAACAUAUCACUAACUGUCCUUACUCUUUAUUUCAUGCCAUAGGACCUUGAAGGAAUAACAGAACUGCUUUCCUCAGCUCUAUCCUUUCUGCUCAUUUCCUGUCAUCCAACAUGUGACUUUUCGGUGGUGGUCUCCAGCUCUCUUCACAUACGGCUGCUAGAUCAAGAGACUGACAUGAUCUAGACAUCUAUGAAGUAAAAAGCAUCCAAGACCCACUCCCUGGGGAACUGUGUGCUAAGGAGGAUACAAAGAAAAGAUGGGAGCUCAGUGGGGAUCUCUGAUCAGAGCUCCCUGUUCAUUGCAUGUAUGUGGAAGGUUCUAGAAUGAACAGGAGUGCUUCUGAGUGACCCUGAGUGAAUGUGGAUUCCAAUGGUGAUAAUAGACUUUUCUUAUUUCUUUGUCAUCUCCGUUUAUAGAGUGAAUCAAAACCCUUGGCCCUAAAUGAAAACUGGCCUUCUGCGAAGUAGGGAAGGAGGCAGGAUUCUCUGCCUUACUGCUUUCUAUCUCCAUCAUCUCCCGCCAACAGACUGCCUGGAACUUCCAUUCCUGAAAUUUCACUCAAGAGAUAUGCUGCUUGCGAUAACAGUGUGUCAAAGAAGACAGCCUUUUACACCCAGUCCUUGGGUGACCUCAGAUUCAGGAGACAUACCCACCCGCCCAUCAUUUUAGAGAGAAGGCUCCUGGGAGGCAAGAUCCCUUUCUUGUCUGUGGUGACCGCUCAGUGCUCGCCACAGAGCCCGAUGAUGGGGUGGGGAGUCUGGCCACAUGGCCUUGGGGGGGGCAGUGGGGAAGAGCUAAUGCUGGAGGGGGGGCCAGGCCUGCUGUUGCUCUUAUUUAUUAUUUCACUGAACUACUGCUGAGUGACAAAGGCUCUUUGCAAUCUAGCAGACUGGCAUCCGUGGAACAUAUUUUUAACAUGAAUCGCCAAAGAAAUAACAGAAAUAUGAAAUGGCUAAUUAAACAGCCAUUUCACAAAGGUCCCGUCUGAUGACAAGUUUUUUUGAUCAGUCUGUUUGCUAAUUUCCAAGUGGAAUGAAUCAGAGUCCGUCAAUCCAGGACUCAAAGCCGACGUUGGGGAUGGAAGGGGGCAGAGAGAGAAGCUGUAAGACUGAACUGUUGACUAUACCUCACUGCAUUCAUAAUGUUUGACUGAGUUCACUAUAUUUUGGAAAGUUCUGGGUGGCAUCUCAGUUUUUGGUGGGACGUGUGGGCCCAUAGUCACAUAGUGAGUGAUUCUAGCCUAUUUAUUAUAUGUGCUGCCGAAGCAAGCACAGAUUCUAGCCUAUUCUAAGACUAAAAUAUUCCCUGCUUAAUAUAAAACUCAAGACCCUUAGCA